CUGUGAGGCAAACCCCAGCCAUAUCUCCAGCACACAAGAACUUCCAAACGCCUGAACUGCAGCGGCCAGGCAUUCUCCAGAACCUCCUCCCCCAGGAGCUUGCUACAAGUGCCAAAAAUCUGGCCACCAGGCCAAGGAAUGCCCGCAGCCCACCUGAACUGCAGCGGCCAGGCGUUCCUCCAGAACCUCCUACCCCAGGAGCUUGCUACAAGUGCCAAAAAUCUGGCCACCAGGCCAAGGAAUGCCCGCAGCCCGAGAUUCCUCCUAAGCCAUGUCCCAUCUGUGCAGGACUCCACUGGAAAUUGGACUGUUCAACUCACCUGGCAGCCACUCCCAGAGCCCCUGGAACUCUGGCCCAAGGCUCUCUGACUGACUCCUUCCCAGAUCUUCUCGGCUUAGCGGCUGAAGACUGACGCCGCCCGGUCACCUCGGAAGCCCCGUAGACCAUCACAGAUGCCGAGCUUUAAGUAACUCUCACAGUGGAAGGGCUCCAGCUGGGUGAACUAUGGGGCAUUUGCCCGGAGUUCAUGCUCAGCAUCAGGGUCAAAGCAAAGGGAACUCUGACAAUGAUUCCAUUGUGAACUUGUUCUGGGAAUGCCAUGAUGAUUCUCUAUCAUGUUCCUCGUACACUGCACCAGCACCACUGCUUCCCUUCCCAGUGAGAACCCGAUCAAGCUUUAUCAUGCAGCCCAGAAGGGUGGGGGAAAGAAAAAGAAUUAGGAGAAAAUGUUGUAAAAGUAAUGAGAUAAUAUGAGAAUGUGCUUUGGGAACUGCGAAUCUGGAGUCACUGGUCCAUGAGGAAUCUAGGAUAAGAAGAAGGAAGCUGUGAAGAAUGGUUGGCUAACAGUGCUGGCAAGGAAUUCAGAUCAACAUACCUCUCAAAAGAAUGGAAGUCUCUUAAACUCAGACAGAAUAAAGGAGGCACAGAGAAGUUAUACAAAUUGUCCUGGCACAAAAAACUGAUAAGACUUAAGCCCAGGAGUACUGGCCCAAGAAGAUAUUAGACUAUGGAAAUGAUGUUGGAGAAAAAGCAAAUUUGAGCGAUUUUCUUAUUUGAGUUCAAAAUGGGUCUUAAAGCAGUGGGGACAACUGGCAACAUAACAAUGCAUUUGGCCUGGGAACUGCUAACCAACUCUUAGUUCAAUGGCGGUUCAAGAAGUUUUGCAAAGGAGACAAUAGCCUUGAAGAUAAGGAGCAUAGUGGCCGGCCAUCAGAAGUUGACAACGACCAAUUGAGAGCAAUAUUUGAAGCUGAUCCUCUUACAACUACACGAGAAGUUGCCAAAGAACUCAGUGUCGACCUUCCUAUGGUUGUUCGGCAUUUGAAGCAAAUUGGAAAGGUGAGAAAGCUCCAUACAUGGGUGCUGCAUGAGCUGAGUGAGAAGAAAAAAAUCGUCAUUUUGAAGUUUUGUCUUCUCUUGUUCUUCACAACGGUGAACUAUCUCAUGAUUGGAUUGUGACGUACGAUGAAAAGUAGAUUUUAUAUGACAAUGGGCAAUGACCAGCUCAGUGGUUGGACUGAGAAGACACUCCAAAGCACUUCCAAAAGCCAAAUUUGCACCACAAAAAAAGGUCAUGAUCACUGUUGGGUGGUCUGCUGCCACUCCGAUCCACUACAGCUUUCUGAAUCCUGGCAAAACCAUUACAUCUGAGAAGUAUGCUCAGCAAAUAGAUGAGAUGCACUGAAAACUGCAAUGCCUGCAGCUGGCAUUGGUCAACAGAAAGGGUCCAAUUCUUCUCCCAACCGCGUGUUGCAAAACUAAUGCUUCAAAAGUUGAACGAAGUUUUGCCUCAUCUGCCAUAUUUGCCUGAUCUCUCACCAACUGAUCACCACUUUUUUAAGCAUCUCGACAGCACAACUUUUUGCAGGGAAAAUGCUUCCACAACCAGCAGGAUGCAGAAAAUGCUUUCCAAGGGUUCAUUUAAUCCUGAACCAUAGAUUGUUAGCUACAGGAAUAAACAAACUUAUUUCUCACUGGCAAAAAUUUGUUGAUUAUAAUGGUUCCUAUUUUGAUUAAUAAAGAUGUGUUUGAGCCUAGUUAUAAUGAUUUAAAAUUCACGGUCUGAAACCGCAAUUACUUUUGCACUAGCCUAAUAA
rnacentral:lncRNA from 10 species